UGAGCCCUUGUAGUUGAUGUUGAUGACAGUUGGUCCACUGUAAGAGUAGGAUGCGCAUCCAGAUGGAAUCUAUCGAUCUUGAUAGAAAGGAGUAGUCUCAUGAAAUUUGAGAGGCUAAGCCUGAGAGUCUGUAGCCAUGCAGUAUAAUUGAUGAAAAAAAAUUUUUAUAAAGAUCACAAUUGCAUCUGAGUUGAUCAAAUCUAUCAUAUGACUGAUAAUGAGGAUUGAUGAUUUAUCCAUAACCUACCAUCUAGUCGGGACACACG
rnacentral:lncRNA from 1 species